GCCCUAAUCCUGUCACUGGAUUGUUCAAAUGGACCUUUAUAUACAUGGGGCCUGACUGAGUUAAUGAGACUCUGAAAGACUGGAAGUUUCUACUCUGAAGAUGUGACUGCUUAUUAAAAUGUUAUCUAAGAGCUUCACAGUAUUUUUGCGUAUUCCCACAACAAGAGAGCACUGUUGUCCUGUUUUACGAAGGCGAGAGCUGAGCCACUCAGUCACAUUCCUAACCCCAGAAAUUACCUCUUCUGGAGAUUCCUGGUAUGUGUUGCAUGAUAGGCCCAACUUAAGAGAGGUAUUCAUCAUCAGUUGGGGAUGUUUGGUGCGUUGGCAUAAUCCGCUCAUAAUAAAUGGUUUGAAGGAAAUAUUUGAAGUAUCUCCUGAAGAUUUUGAAUAAGACACUGGAGAAAAACAUGGUUAUAAGUCUGUAUCUGUUAAGAAACUGAGAACUGUGUUCAUAUGGGCUGCAUACAGGAUGGCACUGCAGCCUCAGGAAAAGGGCAAAUACACAGCACUUUUUCUGAGUGCGUCGCUAACCACCUACCCGGGUGCAUGACUGCAAGUGUUCUAAAACAACAGUGACAAUUUAAAUCAUCUGCCGCUCAAUUGUAAGUACAUGUGGCCAGAUGCCCUUUCUCUGCAGAGGUUUUGGUCUCAUUUUGAGCUGAAAAUGUAACAUUUUUGUUGAGAAAGGCUUUCAAAACUCAUCAAAAAUAGCCUAAUAGUGGCUUUUGGAUUUGACUGACAAGCUACUUUUUGCUGUGCCAUUUUCACCAUAAUACACUCUUAAUUUUAACCUGAAGAAACAAUGAUCUCUUUUGUCUGGAGGGAGCAUAAGAGUGACAAAAUCCAGAGUUCCAGUGACUCUUUUUGUUGUCAAAGAAAGCUAUGAAAUCAUCUGACUUCCAGCCAAAAACGAUGGGGAGUAGGCAGUGUUCUUCACAGAAAGCAGAAUCUGCAAAAGAGAAGGUGGCAGCAUGGCAGAGUGAUCUCCUUGUCCCAGUGGAAGUGUGCUGCCCUGUUCUGAAAAGUUCCUGUGUCCUGACGUAAGUUCCUUUUCUCACCUCUGUCAGCCAUCACAGAGUUCAGAGACUUUCUAAGGCAUGGCUCUUUAUAUUGUUUGACUUCCUUGAAAAUACAGUUGAACAAAGAGGAAUCUCACCAGGUUAUUUCAGAAAGUUGCGAAAAAAACAGAUAUCCACUCUGCAUCUAUCUUUUGGUUAGGCUUCACUGUCAACCAGACAGUCUCUGUAAUCUGUACUCCUUGGGACUCUCCAUCGUUGUUUGUCUUUGUUAGAAGUCUUCAGUUAUGAGUGAAACAGAGGAUGUCCUGAAGUAAG
ensembl:lncRNA